AGUGAACGUUGGCGGCAUGGAUUAGGCAUGCAAGUCGAGCGAGAAGUGUAGCAAUACACGGAAAGCGGCGGAAGGGAGAGUAAUACGUGGGAAUCUGCCCUUAGACCUGGGAUAGCAGCGGGAAACUGCUGGUAAUACCAGAUAAUGUCUAUGGACCAAAGGUGUGAUUCCGUCCAGGGAUGAGCCCACGUCCUAUUAGCUAGUUGGUAGGGUAAUGGCCUACCAAGGCGAUGAUGGGUAGCGGGUGUGAGAGCAUGACCCGCCUCACUGGGACUGAGACACUGCCCAGACACCUACGGGUGGCUGCAGUCGAGAAUCUUCGGCAAUGGGCGCAAGCCUGACCGAGCGAUGCCGCGUGCGGGAUGAAGGCCUUCGGGUUGUAAACCGCUGUCGAGGGGGAGCAACUUCCAUAGAGUUAUCUUUAUGGAUUGAGUGAUCCCUGGAGGAAGGACGGGCUAAGUUCGUGCCAGCCGCCGCUGUAAAAC
rnacentral:rRNA from 1 species